rnacentral:lncRNA from 1 species
UGCAUGUGUCAGUGUACUAUAAGAUAACACUCACAAACAUAGUGAGAGGAGGAUGAUUGAUAAAAAAAAAGUGGUCUAUAAACCUAGAGAGAGAUGAGUAUCUUUCGUGAAAGAUCUUGAACUCAAGAUUUAGUUUUGUCAAGAUUUUUCACUAAAGAGAGACUUGAGAUCUCCAACAUGAAGGAUGUGGUCUUCCAGAAGACCUCUUAAGGUUCUCACCAUUUCUCUUCCUAUCAGAUUGUGGAGGGAAGUAACAGAAAUGAAAAAGGAAGAGGGGAAGAAGAUGAAGAGGAGAAUGAACUCAAAAAUCCAGAUCAAACAAUAAACAACACCAACAACAAAUUGCAGUUGAAAAAUAAGAAAAUAAACAAAUCCAAUGACAAAUUAAUAAAUACAAGAACAAAUAAAAAAUAAAAAUGAAAUCUUGUGGACGUUGAGGUUUGUGGAGGGGCAUGGUUGUGCGCUGCAGAGGGGGAGUGUGGUGGCAUCGCGCACCGCAGAGGGGGGUGGGGGUGGUGCCGCCCGUCGUGGAAGGGGAGGUUGGUGGUGUCGUACGCCUCGCCAAGGUAGAGGUUGGUGCACUGCGCAAAGGUGGAGGGUGAGGGAGGGGUGGAGGGGAAAGGGAAGAGGAUUGUGUGGUUGAGAGUGAAGAGAAAAGUGAGGAGAGGGUGAAAGUAAGUGUUGGUUGUUGAGUUGAGAGAAAAAAU